ACACACAAAGGCCAGAGAGAUGUGUCAAACAGGCUGUCUAUUUCAUGAGUGAAUCAUAGAUGUCUCUCUGGUCCAAGGCUACCUCUAGGCUAGCCUUACACUGGUUUCAGUUAUGAUGGGGCUAGGCUAGCAUUACACUGGUUUCAGUUAUGAUGGGGCUAGGCUAGCAUUACACUGGUUUCAGUUAUGAUGGGGCUAGGCUAGCAUUACACUGGUUUCAGUUAUGAUGGGGCUAGGCUAGCCUUACACUGGUUUCAGUUAUGAUGGGGCUAGGCUAGCCUUACACUGGUUUCAGUUAUGAUGGGGCUAGGCUAGCCUUACACGGGUUUCAGUUAUGAUGGGGCUAGGCUAGCCUUACACUGGUUUCAGUUAUGAUGGGGCUAGGCUAGCCUUACACUGGUUUCAGUUAUGAUGGGGCUAGGCUAGCCUUACAAUGGUUUCAGUUAUGAUGGGGUUGGCUAGCCUUACACUGGUUUCAGUUAUGAUGGGGCUAGGCUAGCCUUACACUGGUUUCAGUUAUGAUGGGGCUAGGCUAGCCUUACACUGGUUUCAGUUAUGAUGGGGCUAGGCUAGCAUUACACUGGUUUCAGUUAUGAUGGGGUAGGCUAGCAUUACACUGGUUUCAGUUAUGAUGGGGCUAGGCUAGCCUUACACGGGUUUCAGUUAUGAUGGGGCUAGGCUAGCAUUACACUGGUUUCAGUUAUGAUGGGGCUAGGCUAGCCUUACACUGGUUUCAGUUAUGAUGGGGCUAGGCUAGCCUUACAAUGGUUUCAGUUAUGAUGGGGUUGGCUAGCCUUACACUGGUUACAGUUAUGAUGGGGCUAGGCUAGCCUUACACUGGUUUCAGUUAUGAUGGGGCUAGGCUAGCCUUACACUGGUUUCAGUUAUGAUGGGGCUAGGCUAGCCUUACACUGGUUUCAGUUAUGAUGGGGCUAGGCUAGCCUUACACUGGUUUCAGUUAUGAUGGGGCUAGGCUAGCCUUACACUGGUUUCAGUUAUGAUGGGGCUAGGCUAGCCUUACACUGGUUUCAGUUAUGAUGGGGCUAGGCUAGCAUUAUACUGGUUUCAGUUAUGAUGGGGCUAGGCUAGCCUUACACUGGUUUCAGUUAUGAUGGGGCUAGGCUAGCCUUACACUGGUUUCAGUUAUGAUGGGGCUAGGCUAGCAUUACACUGGUUUCAGUUAUGAUGGGGCUAGGCUAGCCUUACACAGGUUUCAGC